ACUUCAGAGUUCAGACGUCGCUCAUUAUCGCUAAACACAUCCGAAAACCUAGCUAGCCGAACACAGUCCACCGCCUUCGCCCACCAUCUCCGCCUUCGCCGUCGACCAGAUUGCCCACCGCCGUCGACCCAGCCGCCGCCCAGUUCGCCAACUGCCUUCGCCCACCGUCUCCUUAGCCGCCGUCUCCUCCGCUUUCUCUGUUCAUGCUUCGCAGUCGUCGUCCCAGCCGCCGUCGCAUCCCAGCUGCCGUCGGAUCGCCUGGGUCUCAGCCGUUGCUCGUCGCCUGUCAUCGUAGCCCUCAAUUGUCGCUCGUCGCCGUUGCCGCACCGUCGCCGCUACUUCAUACGUCAUCGUCUCUAAUAUAGGUGUAAUGUAAUAUACUCAUUAUCGCAACGUCUGAGCUCAGAAUACUUGUGGAGUUCCUCCAAGUUAGAGGAUUUCAAUUGGAUAUUUUUUCUCAUCAAUUCUGGAGAUUUGGCUUGUUAACAACAUCUCUGCUGAAUGAAAUUUGUGAGGACAUACUGGCUUCAGGCUUAUGCAUUCUCUUUGGGAAUUUAAAGUAGAUACUGCCAGCAACAGUCAGUAGUACCACAGUAUGGAUCUACUACACAAACUGUUCAUUGUAAUGUGAGGGGAUGUCUUGAUCCUCCAUGCAAUGCAGUUGGCUUCAUUGAUUGACUUAUUCUUGGUGAAAGUCAUCUCUAUCAACACCCCAUCUACAAAAGAACCAAGGAAUGCAGUAUCAAUUCCCUUGAUUAUGGAGUUAUGCCCUCUCUAUCCCUCUACCUCUUCCUUUAUUUUUAUUUUAAAUUGUUUAAAGUUUAGUUUAGCCUUAGCCCUUAUGCAAUUGCAAUUUUAGAGCUUAGUUUUGUCCUACUUUUACUGGCAUAAGCUGUGAGCAAAAUUAAUUUUGACCGUAGUUCAACUUUGAGUGCUCCUUUUUCCUUUUUUCCCUUAAUCCAAAUGUUUUCCUCUUCUCCAUUUUAAUUGAAAAUUUUCAAUUCUUUAAUGGCUGCCAUAACAUGCCUUGUUGGAUUACAUUAUGGGCACAUUCUUAUUCAGGUCAAGGGUCACAAGCAAAGGAUAAUAUUUUGGUCCAUAUUCUCCCUCCCACUACUGAUUGUUGGACUUGUGCUGGUGGUUGUAGGUUAAAAAAUGACCAUGGACUGUCCAACCUCAUCCCAAGACUUUGAUUUUGUAUUCUACAUUCCAAGACUUUCAGCCAAGGGGUCCUUUGCUCUAUGGGAUUUGAAGGUGCAAUAACAAAAGUGGCCAAAGACUUUGUAGCUUUCAAUUAUUUUUAAUUUGGAAUUGUAAAUUUGUAAUUUCAUGGAUUAUUUUUUAGUUUUAUUGUAAUAGGAAUUGUAAUUUCGUAGUGUUUGUAUUGAGAGUUACAAUGUGUAAAAAGGAAUUAUUGUUUUUUUUAAGGAGUAUCUACGUCUGUUGUACAAAAAA